rnacentral:lncRNA from 1 species
AUUCUUCUUCUCUUGUCAAUUGGAUUUAAUUGAAUACAAGAACUUAAACCGAGGAGGCGAGAUACAGAUUUUCAGUUCUUUCUAUAACACCACAUUGGCUUCCAAUGAUGCCAGCAGUACCAUCCUCAACUCCUAACAUAACUAUGAAACUCAGCCACAGAAAGGAGAAACUAUCUGUGGUUUCAAAAUUUCCAUGAGGAAACCUCCUAACCAGUGAAAGAUCAGCAUGGGCUCUGCAGUGUUUUUAAGGGGUUGCCAAGUGAACUGAGAGGUUAACUUAAUUGCCCAGGGCUACACAGUAUGAAUUGAAAAUAGGUCUUGAAUCCAGGCUUCCUUACUCUAAGAAUAUUGCUACAACAAUUGCAAAAUAAAGAGCAAUCCUACAUGUGAAAGAGAUAAAUAAACUAAACAAAUUUCUAGGAACACAAUAUACAGAAUCUGGUGCUUGGGAAACAAACAUGACAGAAGAUGAAACAAUACUAACAAUGGAAGCAGGAACAGGAAAUCCUGCAAACCAGGAAGUCAUACAAGAAAAACCAGGAAGUACUGGAGAGCAAGAAGGAUUCCAGAACAUUGGGGAGGAGAGACUGUUGCUUUUCCCUAACAGUCAGGAGAGAGCACAGAAAGUUUUCAGUCUAGUUAUUCUGGGUGGACCCAGAAAGCCAGUGAUACCCUCUCCUGUGGGCUUUCUGGAGAUUCGGCUUACCCUUGCUGCUGAGGAGUGGAUGUUCAACAGUGCUGCUGGUGACUUCCUACUGAGACUGCUGCUUGACCCAAAGAAGGACUCCAGUUGUGUGAGAUCUACUUUGGCCUUGUUAUUGCUCCUACCAAACCAUCCCUAA